AACGAACGCUGGCGGCAGGCUUAACACAUGCAAGUCGAACGCAUCCUUCGGGGUGAGUGGCAGACGGGUGAGUAACGCGUGGGAAUCUACCCAUCUCUGCGGAAUAGCUCCGGGAAACUGGAAUUAAUACCGCAUACGCCCUACGGGGGAAAGAUUUAUCGGGGAUGGAUGAGCCCGCGUUGGAUUAGCUAGUUGGUAGGGUAAAGGCCUACCAAGGCGACGAUCCAUAGCUGGUCUGAGAGGAUGAUCAGCCACAUUGAGACUGAGACACGGACCAAACUCCUACGGGAAGCAGCAGUGGGGAAUAUUGGACCAUGGGCGCAAGCCUGGUCCAGCCAUGCCGCGUGAGUGAUGAAGGCCUUAGGGUUGUAAAGCUCUUUCACCGACGAAGAUAAUGACGGUAGUCGGAGAAGAAGCCCCGGCUAACUUCGUGCCAGCCGCCGCCGUAAUAC
rnacentral:rRNA from 1 species